UGGGUUAGGAGGAUUUUGUUAAAAAAUAUUUGAAAAAUUUUGUUUCUGAUUUUUUUUCUCAUCAGAUUCAUAGGAGAUUGCUGUUUGCAAGAUCACAGUCUUCUAGUCCCAAAGGAAACCAUCAUUUGAGAAAAGAUUUACAGCCUCGUAUGAUCUUUAGAAAAUAUUGAUGCAGCAAGAUAGUGAAUGAAAGACAGAG
rnacentral:lncRNA from 1 species